AGCAGCCGCGGUAAUUCCAGCUCCAAUAGCGUAUAUUAAAGUUGUUGCAGUUAAAAAGCUCGUAGUUGAAUUUCGGGAUCAAAUUGUCGGUCGUGCCUCGGUACGUACUGGUAUUAUUGGUUCCUCCCUUCUGAAGAACCACGAUGUCAUUAAUUUGGUGUCAUGGGAAAUCAGGACUGUUACUUUGAAAAAAUUAGAGUGUUUAAAGCAGGCUCGCGCUUGAAUACAUUAGCAUGGAAUAAUGAAAUAGGACGUUUGAUUCUAUUUUGUUGGUUUCUAGGAUCGACGUAAUGAUUAAUAGGGAUAGUUGGGGGCAUUAGUAUUCAAUUGUCAGAGGUGAAAUUCUUGGAUUUAUUGAAGACUAACUACUGCGAAAGCAUUUGCCAAGGAUGUUUUCAUUAAUCAAGAACGAAAGUUAGGGGAUCGAAGACGAUCAGAUACCGUCGUAGUCUUAACCAUAAACUAUGCUGACUAGGGAUCGGAUGAUGUUAAUUUUUUAAUGACUCAUUCGGCGCCUUACG
rnacentral:rRNA from 1 species